CUUGCAACCAUAAGAGGUCCAGCCUGCCCAGUGAUCUAAUUCAACGGCCGCGGUAUCCUAACCGUGCAAAGGUAGCGUAAUCACUUGUUUUCUAAAUAAAGACUAGUAUGAAAGGCAUCACGAGGACUUAGCUGUCUCCUUUCUCCAAUCAGUGAACCUAAUCUUCCCGUGAAAAAGCGGGAAUCCACCUAUAAGACGAGAAGACCCUGUGGAGCUUUAAACAUAAUAACACCUGCCACCAUCUCUAACAACCCCGGUACCUCCUUCAAGCGGCACCCUGAUUAUAUGUUUUUGGUUGGGGCGACCGCGGAGAAAAACUCAUCCUCCGCAAUGAACGGGACUUCUUCCUUAAACAAUAAGUCACAACUUUACGUAUUAAAAAAUUAACAUUCCUUGACCCAAUAAAUUGAUUAAUGAAC
rnacentral:rRNA from 1 species